rnacentral:rRNA from 1 species
AACGAACGCUGGCGGCAUGCCUAACACAUGCAAGUCGAACGAAGGCUUCGGCCUUAGUGGCGCACGGGUGCGUAACGCGUGGGAAUCUGCCCUUUGGUUCGGAAUAACAGCUGGAAACGGCUGCUAAUACCGGAUGAUGACGAAAGUCCAAAGAUUUAUCGCCAGAGGAUGAGCCCGCGUUGGAUUAGGUAGUUGGUGGGGUAAAGGCCUACCAAGCCGACGAUCCAUAGCUGGUCUGAGAGGAUGAUCAGCCACACUGGGACUGAGACACGGCCCAGACUCCUACGGGAGGCAGCAGUGGGGAAUAUAGGGCAAUGGGCGCAAGCCUGAUCCAGCAAUGCCGCGUGAGUGAUGAAGGCCCUAGGGUUGUAAAGCUCUUUUACCCGGGAAGAUAAUGACUGUACCGGGAGAAUAAGCCCCGGCUAACUCCGUG